GCAACCUAGGCAGAGACACCAGAAUCCAAGCCCCGACCUUAGCCUGUGGACACUUCACCCUCACUGCCUGUGUAUUAAUAUUAAUGUCAAUGUUAAUAUUAAUGUCAAUGUUAAUAUUAAUAUUAUUAUUUCAGAGUGACUCAGGCUCCUUCGGACAUGAUUAAACGCAGCCUCUAGUGUGCCUCGCCUCUGGUCGGCUCUAGCCUCUGUCUGGCCCCAGUCGCCCCCUCUGGGAACCGACUGCUAGCCUCCCCUACAGACUCAGAGCUCCUGCUCCUGUACAGUGAUGCCUCCACCGUGGAGGGGGCUGCGAGGAGGGCUCCCUGGGAGAGGAGACGUUGAUUUCAGGACUUGGGGGUGAGUCACAGUAGCUGGCAGAAAUAAAUGCAUAGCAGAUUCCAGGCAGAAGUCACAACAGGCGUGGAGGCCCUGCAGCUUGAGAAAGCAUGGUGGGCUGGGACUGUGCAUUUAGGAGUGGAGUGGCUAGAUGGACAGGCUAAGAGGAGGAAGUGGUGGUGUGGGCAGGCGGUGGGCAGUGCCGGCCUCAGAAGCCAGGCGGAGGAGUGGGGCGUUAUUCCCAGGGCCGUGGGGAGCCAAGGAAGAUGUGUGAGCAGUGGAGGAGUGCUGUGUCCAAAGAUUCCUCCAGAGUGAGCGAGCCUGCUGUCUGGAGGUGGGGAACCUGGGCAGGAGACCAGCGUUCCAGAAGGAGACAGAAAAAUUGCACAUCACAACUCUGAGGCGUCAUUUGUUUUCCCCUAUGAGACUGGCAAAGAUUCAGAAGUGUGCCGAUGUUCUGCGCUGGCCGGGCUAUGGGAAAACAGGGAAGCCCGUGCCACGCUUCAGGAUCACAUGUGGCGCUGUCCCAGUGGAAGGCACACUGACCGGCAGAGGCCACGGGGGUUCCAAACACUCGUGCCUGCUGCCCCAGCAUCCGCUGCUGGGACUGUCCUGAAUAUUUCAUGUGGACAAAGUGACAAGGGCGGCAGUGGCAUGAACUAACUGAGGAGUGGAUAAAUGAAACGUGGUGCCUCCAGACAGCGGAAUGUUACUCAGCCGCAAAAAGUGGUGAAGUGCUGACGCUCCCUUGGUCAUGGAUGAACCUUGAAAACAUCAGGGUGAGUGAAAGAAGCCAGAGUCACAAAAGCCCACGGAGCCUAUGACUCCAUUGAUACGAGACGUCCGGACCAGGCAAAUCCCUAGGGACAGAAAGCAGAUUGGCGGUCGCCAGGGG